rnacentral:lncRNA from 1 species
AAUUCCUAUAGAGGGCAGGCUCGAUGUAACGAAUAAUGAAAAGUUAUUCUUGAAUAUAAGUAAACCAAGAUCUUCUUCUAUAUAAGGUACAUCAAAUCAGAAUCACAUUUUCAUUUUGGGUUUCUACAAGGAUAAUGGUAAGAGUUAGCUUAAAUCGUUAAAAUUAAAAACGUGCUUUGGGUGGCCUCUUGCAGAUCAACAUUUUAUUUCAAUUUUUAUGGAAAGAAUGGAAAUCAUAAGGUUUAUUGCAGUAAAAUUUAAUAAAUCUGAAACAAGAAAAGAAAAUGGUUAAAUAAUUUAAUUUUGAUA